GGGCCCGUAGCGCAGGAUGGACAGCGCACCGGCCUUCUAAGCCGGGGGUCGGGAGUUCAAGUCUCCCCGGGCCCG
rnacentral:tRNA from 1 species